UACGUAGGGGGCAAGCGUUGUCCGGAUUUAUUGGGCGUAAAGAGCGUGUAGGCGGCUAUACAGGUCCGCUGUGAAAACUCGAGGCUCAACCUCGAGACGCCGGUGGAAACUGCAAAGCUAGAGUCCGGAAGAGGAGAGUGGAAUUCCUGGUGUAGCGGUGAAAUGCGCAGAUAUCAGGAAGAACACCCGUGGCGAAGGCGGCUCUCUGGGACGGUACUGACGCUGAGACGCGAAAGCGUGGGGAGCGAACAGG
rnacentral:rRNA from 1 species